CCUACGGGAGGCUGCAGUGAGGAAUAUUGGUCAAUGGGCGGGAGCCUGAACCAGCCAAGUCGCGUGAGGGAAGACGGUCCUAUGGAUUGUAAACCUCUUUAGGCGGGGAGCAAUGCCGGGCACGCGUGCCCGGAGGGAGAGUACCCGCAGAAUAAGCAUCGGCUAACUCCGUGCCAGCAGCCGCGGUAAUACGGAGGAUGCGAGCUGUAUCCGGAUUUAUGGGGUUUAAAGGGUGCGUAGGCGGACUUUUAAGUCAGCGGUAAAAUGUCCGGGCUCAACCCGGGCCGGCCGUUGAAACUGGGGAUCUUGAGUGGGCGAGAAGUAUGCGGAAUGCGUGGUGUAGCGGUGAAAUGCAUAGAUAGUACGCAGAACUCCGGUUGCGAAGGCAGCAUACCGGCGCCCGACUGACGUUGAGGCACGAAAGCGUGGGGAUCGAACAGGAUUAGAUACCCGUGUAGUC
rnacentral:rRNA from 1 species